rnacentral:misc_RNA from 1 species
UUUCCGUAGGUGAACCUGCGGAAGGAUCAUUAAAGAGAAUAUGCCCUUCGGCGUAGAUCUCCCACCCUUUGUUUAUAUUACCUUUGUUGCUUUGGCAGGCCCGUCUUCGGACCACCGGCUUCGGCUGGUCAGUGCUUGCCAGAGGACCCAAAACUCUUAUUAUUAAUGUCGUCUGAGUACUAUAUAAUAGUCAAAACUUUCAACAACGGAUCUCUUGGUUCUG